GACGAACCGUGCAAACGUUGUUCGGAGUCACUGGGCUUAAAGGGCGCGUAGGCGGGCCAGCCAGUCUGUGGUGAAAGCCUCCAGCUUAACUGGAGAAGUGCCGUGGGAUACUGCUGGCCUCGAGGAGGGGUAGGGGCAUCUGGAACGGUCGGUGGAGCGGUGAAAUGCGUUGAUAUCGACCGGAACUCCGGUGGCGAAGGCGAGGUGCUGGGCCCUUCUGACGCUGAUGCGCGAAAGCCAGGGGAGCAAACGGG
rnacentral:rRNA from 1 species